GGGGAGAGCGGUUGCCGGGACUGAGUUCGCCGGCGGCGAGACAUCGUAACGGUGGAGGAUCUUGAUCUGCAUCAUCUCCUCCGACGGUGAAGGGGACAUUCAAGCUAAUCCAAAAUAUCCAAAGAUAACCGGAAGUUCAGUGAGAGAUGAAUUGGUCUCGAGAAAGAGCACAACACUCUAAAUUGCUAAGCGAAAAGUCCGGACAAAUCUUACAAAAAAUCUGGUACGUGGGCCGGCAAGAACCCACCAGAUCCUCGAGUGUUCAUAGAGAAGUCAAUCAUGUCUGCUGGAAAAAAUCUUGUAAAUAAAGUCUAAAAUCGGUGCAUCUAAGUCGUGGGAUAUCACUAUAGAUAGAGCCUGCGCUAAUUUGUGUUGUGCGCAGGGCAUUGUCCUCCACAGUCCACCAUGAGCAGGGAGCAUUGAAAUGAUCUCCAUAUCAGGUAGCUCUCCCAUCGACACCUCCUUCAAUUAUUGCAAAACUAUUUCUAUAAACUAGUGAAACUAUUAUUGU